rnacentral:sRNA from 1 species
CUUUCAUUUAAAAUAAUUUAUUAUCAAGCUUGAAAUCUGAAGCAAAAUACAAACACAAAGUACAUUAUUCAGUUGUUCUGAUGGAGGUGUAAUAAAAACGACAAGUGUUGUUUAAAACAGGAAGGAAAAAAGUGGUGUUAAGGAGUGGGUGUGGUUUCUUGAGCUUUGGAAAGUUUGAUGUGGAUGAGUUCCUGAAUGAGUUCGUUCAAGUUGUUGUGAGAAGAGCCACCAUUCUCUAUAGCUCUCUUAGCAGCAUCGCUCAGCGUCUUCCCUCUUCCCCUCAUAUCCUCGCCCUUCUCGCUCAUCAUCACACCAAUGGCGUUUCCAAUGUCUUCUGCUUUCACAACAUCGCUACCAAAAUCGUUCCAGUUUCUCCACUCUUUUGCCCCCACUGACACCCCGAUUUUCAGCACAUCCACCACCAGCUUCUCAUUGAAAAAAUGUUCCGCAAACAGAGGCCACGUCACCAUCGGCAACCCCGCAUUCACGCUUUCCACCACCGUGUUCCAACCACAGUGAGUAACCAAUCCUCCGAUCGCAGGAUUCUCUAGUAUCAGCAACUGCGGCGCCCAACCCCAUAUCAGAUACCCUUUCUUGCUUUCCUCCAUUCUCUUCUCAAACUCUUCCAAAAAU